rnacentral:tRNA from 1 species
GGUGGCUCAGUGGUAGAGUGCUUGCUUUGUAUACAAGAGGCUCUGGGUUUGAUUCCUCAGUACCA